rnacentral:rRNA from 1 species
CAGCCGCCGCGGGAAUACCAGCAGCCCAAGUGGUGGUCGCGUUUAUUGGGCCUAAAGCGCUCGUAGCCUGGCCGGUAAGUUCCCCGUGAAAUCGGGUCGCCCAACGAUUCGGCUUGCGGGGAAUACUGUCGGUCUUGGGGCCGGGAGACGCCGAGGGUACUCCGGGGGUAGCGGUGAGAUGCUGUAAUCCUCGGGGGACUACCAGUGGCGAAGGCGCUCGGCGAUAACGGGCCUGACGGUGAGGGGCGAAAGCUGGGGGCGCGAACGGGAUUAGAUACCCCUGUAGUCCCUGUCUCUUAUU